UGGCAGCAGUGGGGAAUAUUGCGCAAUGGGGGAAACCCUGACGCAGCCAUGCCGCGUGUGUGAAGAAGGCCCUAGGGUUGUAAAGCACUUUCAAUUGGGAGGAAAAGCUAAUGGUUAAUAACCAUUAGCCCUGACGUUACCUUUAGAAGAAGCACCGRMKAACUCCGUG
rnacentral:rRNA from 1 species